UGGUACAAAUAUGGGACUAGUGAUGGCAGGUGGAAGUAUGAUUCUGAGGUUCUUGCUACUAUCUUAGAGGUUGCAGAAAAUAGCUAUGAGGAUGGGAAGUACUCUGCGGGUCUAGGUAUGGGCUAUGGAGGAAUAGAAAGUGAUGGUGAGGAUGGCAUGAUCCAUGAUGAGCAAGCUAGUGAGGUUGAGGAGGAUAGUGAUGAUGAUGUGGUAGAGAUUGAAAAUAUUUUCCAAAAAUAUUAAUUUCCUGCUUCUCUCUCCUUCCUCUUCUCUGGUUACUGUAACCUAACUCCAAUUUCCCGCUUAUCUCUCUUCCCCUCUCUGGUUUCUCUCCUUCCCCUCUAUGGUUCUUCUCUGGGCGCGAAAUUCAGACUCACAACACCCACUGCACACACCGCAUAGGCGCAUAGCUGUUCCCCCACCGCCGAGUCGCUGCUGCUGUCUCCCACCGCCGAGUCGCUGCUGCUGUCUCCCACCGCCGAGUUGCAGCUGUUGUCUCCCACCGCCUAGUUGCCGCUGUUGUUCCCCCACCGCCGCGUCGUUCCUCCUUUUCCUUUCUAGUUCCCCGGAACCAGCAAAGAGAGGCCGUUCUCCACCUCCACAAGCUAAAAAGGCUUCUCCCCCUAGGCUGAAGAUUUGAGAGAAAAGAAACUUGUGAAUUUUGCGGAUACACACAGAUUACAUACAGUACACAAGAUAAUUAAGGAGAAUUAUGGUCAGCCAGCAUACCGUGGGAGAUCAGAUGUUGACAUUACUGCUACAAUCAUGAAAUUAUGGAUCUCAACCAAUUACAAAGUGUUAUUUUUACUUGAAAAUGGAGGUGUACAAGGAAGAGCAUCCUGAUUCCAAGGUUUGCAGUUGCUUAAAGGUUCUGUAAUUUGAACUGCGUAGGUUUCCAAGGAAGCUGGAGGAAAAUGGAAGUCCAUGACUAAUGAGGAGAAGAAGCCAUAUCAGGAUAAAUAUGUAGAGCUCAAGGUGGAGUAUGAGAAGGCUAUGGACGCUUACAAUGCUAGUAAUGAGGAGGUAUGCAAUCAUCCGAGGGAGCGACCUUUCAUAGAUGAAGUUCGAGAAAUGUUGGCAAACUUCAUUACCAGUGAUUGUCUUUGAUAUUUUCUUGUAUUGAAUCUUAAAUUAUGGAUGUUAGUUUUCCAUAUGAUUGUAAUGUAAUCGACUUUUAUAUUUACAAUUAUAUAUAUUAUUUAAUUUAAUUAUCUAUAUAAUUGGAUACUUUUUAUAUGA